rnacentral:rRNA from 1 species
UACGAAGGGUGCAAGCGUUACUCGGAAUCACUGGGCGUAAAGCGUGCGUAGGCGGUUGGUUAAGUCUGCUGUGAAAGCCCUGGGCUCAACCUGGGAACUGCAGUGGAUACUGGCCAGCUAGAGUGUGAUAGAGGAGUGGUGGAAUUCUGGUGUAGCGGUGAAAUGCGCAGAGUAUCAGGAGGAACACCGGUGGCGAAGGCGGGUCUCUGGGCAGUGAACUGACGCUGG